rnacentral:rRNA from 1 species
AUUGAACGCUGGCGGCAUGCCUUACACAUGCAAGUCGAACGGUAACGGGCCUUCGGGUGCCGACGAGUGGCGAACGGGUGAGUAAUGCAUCGGAACGUACCUUUCAGGGGGGGAUGACGUAGCGAAAGUUACGCUAAUACCGCAUAUUCUGUGAGCAGGAAAGCAGGGGAUCGCAAGACCUUGCGCUGAUUGAGCGGCCGAUGUCAGAUUAGCUAGUUGGUGAGGGAAAGGCUCACCAAGGCGACGAUCUGUAGCGGGUCUGAGAGGAUGAUCCGCCACACUGGAACUGAGACACGGUCCAGACUCCUACGGGAGGCAACAGUGGGGAAUUUUGGACAAUGGGGGCAACCCUGAUCCAGCCAUGCCGCGUGAGUGAAGAAGGCCUUCGGGUUGUAAAGCUCUUUCGGUCGGGAAGAAAUCGCAUGGGUUAAUACCCUGUGCGGAUGACGGUACCGGCAUAAGAAGCACCGGCUAACUACGUGCCAGCCGCCGCAGUAAAAC